rnacentral:rRNA from 1 species
AGUGAACGCUGGCGGUAGGCCUAACACAUGCAAGUCGAACGGCCGCACAGUAAGAUCUUGCUCUUACGGGUGGCGAGUGGCGGACGGGUGAGGAAUACAUCGGAAUCUUCUUUUUCGUGGGGGAUAACGUAGGGAAAUUUAUGCUAAUACCGCAUACUACCUACGGGUUAAAGCAGGGGAUCUUCGGACUUUGCCCGUUAGAAUGAGCCGAUGUCGCAUUAGCUAGUUGGCGGGGUAAAGGCCCACCAAGGCAACGAUCCGUAGCUGAUCUGAGAGGAUGAUCAGCCACACUGGAACUGAGACACGGUCCAGACUCCUACGGGAGGCAGCAGUGGGGAAUAUUGGGCAAAGGGCGCAAGCCUGAUCCAGCCAUACCGCGUGGGUGAAGAAGGUCUUCGGGUUGUAAAGCCCUGUUGUUGGGAAAGAAAAGCAGCAGGUUAAUACCCCGAUAUUCUGACGGUACCCAAAGAAUAAGCACCGGCUAACUUCGUG